AACGCUGGCGGCAGGCUUAACACAUGCAAGUCGAGCGGGCGUAGCAAUACGUCAGCGGCAGACGGGUGAGUAACGCGUGGGAACAUACCUUUUGGUUCGGAACAACACAGGGAAACUUGUGCUAAUACCGGAUAAGCCCUUACGGGGAAAGAUUUAUCGCCGAAAGAUUGGCCCGCGUCUGAUUAGCUAGUUGGUGAGGUAAUGGCUCACCAAGGCGACGAUCAGUAGCUGGUCUGAGAGGAUGAUCAGCCACAUUGGGACUGAGACACGGCCCAAACUCCUACGGGAGGCAGCAGUGGGGAAUAUUGGACAAUGGGGGCAACCCUGAUCCAGCCAUGCCGCGUGAGUGAUGAAGGCCCUAGGGUUGUAAAGCUCUUUUGUGCGGGAAGAUAAUGACGGUACCGCAAGAAUAAGCCCCGGCUAACUUCGUGCCAGCAGCCGCGGUAAUACGAAGGGGGCUAGCGUUGCUCGGAAUCACUGGGCGUAAAGGGUGCGUAGGCGGGUCUUUAAGUCAGGGGUGAAAUCCUGGAGCUCAACUCCAGAACUGCCUUUGAUACUGAAGAUCUUGAGUUCGGGAGAGGUGAGUGGAACUGCGAGUGUAGAGGUGAAAUUCGUAGAUAUUCGCAAGAACACCAGUGGCGAA
rnacentral:rRNA from 1 species